UAAUUUAAGGUCUAACCUGCCCACUGAAAUUUUUAAAUGGCCGUGGUAUUUUGACCGUGCUAAGGUAGCAUAAUCAUUAGUUUUUUAAUUGAAAACUGGAAUGAAAGGUUGGAUAAGAAAAUGACUGUCUCUAUUAAAUUUUAUUAGAAUUUUAUUUUUAAGUUAAAAAGCUUAAAUAAAGUUAAAAGACGAGAAGACCCUAUAGAGUUUAAUUAUUUAAUAAAAAUAAUAUUUUAGUAUUUAUUUAUUAAUUAUAUUAAAUAAUUUAAUUGGGGUGAUUGAAAAAUUAGAAUAACUUUUUUUAUUUUAAAACAUAAAUUUAUGAGUGAAUGAUCCAAUAUUUUUGAUUAUAAGAUAAAAUUACCUUAGGGAUAACAGCGUAAUUUUUUUUUAGAGUUCGUAUUAAAAAAAGAGAUUGCGACCUCGAUGUUGGAUUAAAAUAAAUUUUUGGUGUAGAAGCUAAAAUAUUAGGUCUGUUCGACCUUUAAAAUUUUA
rnacentral:rRNA from 1 species